rnacentral:rRNA from 1 species
GGACUACCCGGGUAUCUAAUCCUGUUUGCUCCCCUAGCUUUCGUCCCUCAGCGUCAGUUGUGAUCCAGCGAGCCGCUUUCGCAUCGGGUGUUCCUGCAGAUCUCUACGCAUUUCACCGCUACACCUGCAAUUCCACUCGCCUCUCUCACACUCGAGCACGGCAGUUUCGGGAGCAGCCCCGAAGUUAAGCCCCGGGAUUUCACUUCCGACUUGCCGCACCGCCUACGGACCCUUUACGCCCAGUAAUUCCGAGCAACGCUGGCCCCCUACGUAUUACCGCGGCUGCUGGCAC